rnacentral:rRNA from 1 species
GACGAACGCUGGCGGCGUGCUUAACACAUGCAAGUCGAACGAUGAAGCCUAGCUUGCUAGGUGGAUUAGUGGCGAACGGGUGAGUAAUACGUGAGUAACCUACCUUUAACUCUGGGAUAAGCCUGGGAAACUGGGUCUAAUACCGGAUACGACCAAUCUCCGCAUGGGGUGUUGGUGGAAAGCGUUAUGUAGUGGUUAUAGAUGGGCUCACGGCCUAUCAGCUUGUUGGUGAGGUAACGGCUCACCAAGGCAACGACGGGUAGCCGGCCUGAGAGGGUGACCGGCCACACUGGGACUGAGACACGGCCCAGACUCCUACGGGAGGCAGCAGUGGGGAAUAUUGCACAAUGGGCGCAAGCCUGAUGCAGCGACGCCGCGUGAGGGAUGACGGCCUUCGGGUUGUAAACCUCUGUUAGCAGGGAAGAAGAAAAAUUGACGGUACCUGCAGAGAAAGCGCCGGCUAACUACGUGCCAGCAGCCGCGGUAAUACGUAGGGCGCGAGCGUUGUCCGGAAUUAUUGGGCGUAAAGAGCUUGUAGGCGGUUUGUCGCGUCUGCUGUGAAAGGCCGGGGCUUAACCCCGUGUAUUGCAGUGGGUACGGGCAGACUAGAGUGCAGUAGGGGAGACUGGAACUCCUGGUGUAGCGGUGGAAUGCGCAGAUAUCAGGAAGAACACCGAUGGCGAAGGCAGGUCUCUGGGCUGUAACUGACGCUGAGAAGCGAAAGCAUGGGGAGCGAACAGG